CAGUCGCCGCGAUAAUACGAAGGGUGCAAGCGUUACUCGGAAUUACUGGGCGUAAAGCGUGCGUAGGUGGUGGUUUAAGUCCGUUGUGAAAGCCCUGGGCUCAACCUGGGAAUUGCAGUGGAUACUGGGUCACUAGAGUGUGGUAGAGGAUAGUGGAAUUUCCGGUGUAGCAGUGAAAUGCGUAGAGAUCGGAAGGAACAUCUGUGGCGAAGGCGACUAUCUGGGCCAACACUGACACUGAGGCACGAAAGCGUGGGGAGCAAACAGGAUUAGAUACCCCUGUAGUCCCUGUCUCUUAUAC
rnacentral:rRNA from 1 species